AGGACGAACGCUGGCGGCGUGCUUAACACAUGCAAGUCGAACGAUGAUGCCCAGCUUGCUGGGUUGAUUAGUGGCGAACGGGUGAGUAACACGUGAGUAACCUGCCCCUGACUUCGGGAUAACGCUGGGAAACUGGUGCUAAUACCGGAUAUGACGCAUCCUCGCAUGGGGGUGUGUGGAAAGACUGUGUCGGUUGGGGAUGGGCUCGCGGCCUAUCAGCUUGUUGGUGGGGUGAUGGCCUACCAAGGCGUCG
rnacentral:rRNA from 1 species